rnacentral:piRNA from 1 species
GACACUAUUAAUGAUACUCUGCUGUGCUUA